CUGCUGCUGUAGCCCAUCUGCUUCAAGGUUAGACGUGUUGUGCGUUCAGAGAUGGUAUUCUACAUACCUUGGUUGUGACAAGUGCUUAUCUGAGGACGUUCUGAGA